AAGAGCCCAAACCAACAAGCUUGCUUGUUGGGGUUGUAGGACACUCUAUACGGAGUUACAAAGGACGACAUUAGACGAAUCAUCUGGAAAGAUGAAUCAAAGAAGGUAAUAAUCCUGUAGUCGAAAAUGUUGUCUCUCUUGAGUGGAUCCUGAGUACGACGGAGCACGUGAAAUUCCGUCGGAAUCUGGGAGGACCAUCUCCUAAGGCUAAAUACUCUCUAGUGACCGAUAGUGAACCAGUACCGUGAGGGAAAGGUGAAAAGCACCCCGGAAGGGGAGUGAAAUAGAACCUGAAACCGUGUGCUUACAAGUAGUCAGAGCCCGUUAAUGGGUGAUGGCGUGCCUUUUGUAGAAUGAACCGGCGAGUUACGAUUUGAUGCAAGGUUAAGCAGUAAAUGUGGAGCCGUAGCGAAAGCGAGUCUGAAUAGGGCGUUUAGUAUUUGGUCGUAGACCCGAAACCAGGUGAUCUACCCUUGGUCAGGUUGAAGUUCAGGUAACACUGAAUGGAGGACCGAACCGACUUACGUUGAAAAGUGAGCGGAUGAACUGAGGGUAGCGGAGAAAUUCCAAUCGAACCUGGAGAUAGCUGGUUCUCUCCGAAAUAGCUUUAGGGCUAGCCUCAAGUGAUGAUUAUUGGAGGUAGAGCACUGUUUGGACGAGGGGCCCCUCUCGGGUUACCGAAUUCAGACAAACUCCGAAUGCCAAUUAAUUUAACUUGGGAGUCAGAACAUGGGUGAUAAGGUCCGUGUUCGAAAGGGAAACAGCCCAGACCACCAGCUAAGGUCCCAAAAUAUAUGUUAAGUGGAAAAGGAUGUGGCGUUGCCCAGACAACUAGGAUGUUGGCUUAGAAGCAGCCAUCAUUUAAAGAGUGCGUAAUAGCUCACUAGUCGAGUGACACUGCGCCGAAAAUGUACCGGGGCUAAACAUAUUACCGAAGCUGUGGAUUGUCCUUUGGACAAUGGUAGGAGAGCGUUCUAAGGGCGUUGAAGCAUGAUCGUAAGGACAUGUGGAGCGCUUAGAAGUGAGAAUGCCGGUGUGAG
rnacentral:rRNA from 1 species